GGGGUUGUAGCUCAGUGGUAGAGUACUUGUCUUGCAUAUGUGAGGCAUAGGUUCGAUUCUCGGCACCA
rnacentral:tRNA from 1 species